UAUGUUAAUGAGGAGUGUUUGACUUCGUUACAGAGAAUGACCCGACUCUCUAGCUGACCUUGACCCAAUGACUGAGUCUAAAGUUAUGGAUUCGAACAUGGUGGCCAUGCGGUUCUUCUUAGAGGGUCAUGCGCUGCUUUUUAGCAUUUUAUGAUUCCUUUUUUCUCCAGUUAAUCUUUGUUCUUGAUACAUGCGUUAUCGACUUCAGAUUAGGGAUCACUGUUCUUCAGCGUUUGCCACAAUUACAUUUUUCAUUACCUAAUUAUCAUUUUUUCUCAAUACUGUAUUUACAUAUUUCGUUCUCCAGCCUGUAUCACUAUAUUUGAUGGAGAAAAAAAGCUUAUUUUCCACAAGGGAUUAAAAAAACAAUAUGAGAACGACCUUCGAAGAGGAUCGCCUGCGGUUUGGCAACUCGACUGAGCAUUACAUACAUUUCCUUGGGUUUCGUUCGGCUGAGUAUAUAAAUGUAAACACACGCAGAAAGCAAAUCUGAUCUCAACAUGAAGCCGCUGUCGAUAGCAUUGGCCCUGAUCGUGGCCCUGACAGGACUCGUGGGCUGGACCAGCGCCAUGCCUAACCCUGACCCGGUGGCUGACCUUGACCCGGGACUCUAUGCCGCUGUCUGAAUCACUGGCCCUGAUUGUGGCUCUGGUAAUACUCGGGUGCUGGACCAGAACAAUGCCCGACCCUUACCCGGUGGCUGACCCGUCAGGAUUCUAUGGCGAGGGUCACGGUGGGCAUUGAUGCAGCAGAGGUUUCGGUUCCUUCGGCAGGGGUGGUCACGGUUUCAGCAGGGGUUUCGGUUCCUUUGGUGGGGGAGGGGUGGGGUGCAAGGGCAGGGGUAGUUACUGGUAAAAAGUCUGUU